AAACCAACAGGGAUUGCCUCAGUAACGGCGAGUGAAGCGGCAAAAGCUCAAAUUUGAAAUCCCCCCGGGGAGUUGUAAUUUGAAGAUUGCGUCUUGGAGGCGACCGUGUCUAUGUUCCUUGGAACAGGACGUCACAGAGGGUGAGAAUCCCGUGCGGCACGGCCCCCGGCUCCUUAUAAGGCGCUCUCGACGAGUCGAGUUGUUUGGGAAUGCAGCUCAAAGUGGGUGGUAAAUUCCAUCUAAAGCUAAAUACAGGCGAGAGACCGAUAGCGAACAAGUACAGUGAUGGAAAGAUGAAAAGCACUUUGAAAAGAGAGUGAAACAGCACGUGAAAUUGUUGAAAGGGAAGGGCAUGCCGUCAGAUUGUCAGUGUGGGUAAGAAGCGGGGUACAAAGACUGUGGAACGUGGCCCUCGGGUGUUAUAGCCGCAGUUCAUGCCCCGUCUCUUUCCGAGGCCUGCUUUGAGGACACCGACGUAAUGACGGUACGCCGCC
rnacentral:rRNA from 1 species